CUCUGCAUUUAAAUAUAUGCUUUGGGCUGACUAAAGAAAUGAAUAUGCUAGGAACUUAUGAAGCUGGAAUAAUUAUGCUUGUACCUGUGCUUCUACCACGACCAUUUGCCUGCCUACUUUCUGUUCUUAUUUUUUGUUCAACUGAAUCCUGUUGAGUAACAUGGUCGAACAUGCUGUUUGGGUGUGAGCGCUUCAGGCUAUUAUCAUUUUGUUUUGUGCAAACGGAGAUCCAACACUAGAAAUAUUCUUGAUAUGGUCAAGGCCUUCAACUUACCCAUAUGUAGCUUUAGGUUCAAGUUGGGAAUGGAACAAUACUCGUUUCAAUACCAUGAUUACUUUAGUGGCCUUGUUCAAAAAAGAUAGUAGAAAGAUAGUAUCAAGCACCAAGAUACUGCAUCCUGCCACAGUUCGCCGUCUCGCCGCUCCAUGAUUAUUUGACUCAGUUGUGGCAAAUGAAGCAAAUGAGUUUUCCAUGUAUUCUUAUUUGUAGCAAAGUAUAAGGGCAAUAAUUUUUUCAGAUGGCUUAUUAACAUUUGUGAAAUAGUGGAGAUGUUGCUUGUUCCUUCA